UGCCAGCAGCCGCGGUAAUACGGAGGGUCCAAGCGUUAUCCGGAUUUAUUAGGUUUAAAGGGUCCGCAGGCGGGAUAUUAAGCCAGUGGUGAAAGCCUACAGCUCAACUGUAGAACUGCCAUUGAUACUGAUAUUCUUGAGUGUGGUUGAAGUAGGCGGAACAUGUCAUGUAGCGGUGAAAUGCAUAGAUAUGACAUAGAACACCAAUUGCGAAGGCAGCUUACUAACCAUAUACUGACGCUGAUGGACGAAAGCGUGGGGAGCGAACAGGAUUAGAUA
rnacentral:rRNA from 1 species